ensembl:lncRNA
CCCCCUUCACUUACUCACUCACUCAUCACCCAACCAACCAACCAAUCCACCCAACCACCCAGACACCUCCCCCCUCGCGGCCCAUUCAGGUGCUACGACGCCUCACCGUCGCCCUGGCAACACCCAGUAGGCAGCGCGGACGGACGGACGGCCGGAUGGAGCGGGGCCCAGAGAGGAGGAGCCCACCAACCCACGGGCAAGGCAGCAAAAGGAGAUUAGCAGCCAUCUGCUGGGGGGGGGUCCCCAUUAAGACUUGUCCCAGAAGAGUUCAACUUUAAGCGGAAGGAGAGCGGACGCGUGCCGAGGAGAUGGAGAUGCCGAUAAAGAGAGCCCAACCUCAACCCACAACAACAACAAAGGAUGUGCCUGGUUUCAAAACAUGGAAAUGCAUCAAAAAGACGUUUUUUGAGUUUUUAAGAAAAAGAGAGCUUUAUUUUCAUGGAACAUGUCUUUAGAACAUUUAAUGUGGUCGUUGUGUGUGCGCGAGCGCGUGUGUGUGCCAUAUCGGAAGAGUGCAACCGCAAUCCCACGCUUGCUCUUCAACGAAUGGUGGCCGGUGCCUGUGGCGGCAUUUAGAUGGUAGAAUCCGGGGGGGAAAUGCUGAAAAUUUGGCGUCACCUUUGACUUUUUUUUUUUUUUUUUUAACAUGGUUGGCUGGAAUUUUAGUUAUCCCUUGCCAGGGGAUCAAACGCUGAGACAAAUAUGGUUUGAACUCGGUCGGCAAAAGAAAAAACCUCUUUUUCUUGUCAUGUGUGUGUGAGAGUGAUUGUGUGUGAGAGUGAUUGAGUGUGUGUUUGAGUGUGCGUUUGACAGUGUGCGUGCGAGUGUACCUGUUCUUCCAGUUGGUAUCGUCCAAACCAUGGGAGGAACGGACACCACAACAUCGAAUGAUGUAGCCUUGUUGUAAACAAUUAAAAAGGAUGGAGGAGAAAAUCUGAUUGUCACCGUUAUUGCGAAUCUGAAUUCUGUAUAGUCCAUGUCCAAGUUGGUUCUAUCGAGACCUCCACCUCUGUCCUGUACAAACUUUAACACCAGUCCCACCAGCAUAACAUGGCAUCAUUUCCCCUAACUAGUUUUGUUAAUACCACUUAUGACAACUUGGUAACUUGACACUUGCACUCUAAGACAAUAAAAGGCUUAAUGUCCGAUACAUGUACAUAAAAACAUUGAUGCCUUAUUUUUUUGAGCGUUUACAGAUUGCUACUUUUUUAUGUGAGCUAGUCCAGAGCUGUUUGCAUAAUUUCACCCAUGGCGUUUUCCUGCUGCACACAUCAUAUCCAAACUUUGAUUAAAUCACUGG